AUAUAGCUGCACAGUUAUUUACACGAUAAGUAGAGGAUAUUAAGGCCAGACACGGCACCUAAAAUUGACAUAACUGCUUCAAUAUGUCAAAAUCAAGAUUUUGAUUUUUUUCGCAUAUAUAAUACAUGUACUUUGUGAUGCAACAUGUUUUUUACGAUAUUGUGUACAUUUACUGAAUAAAAAACGUUAUUAAAAUCAUAAUGUGUGGUAUUGUUUUUAAAUAUGAUCGUAAUCAACGUGGAAAAACCUGAACUUUCACUCAUGACAACGCCCCCGUAGCUGUAACGAACCCCUUCAUGUUAUACAUCGAUAGAAAGCUGAUCGUUUCCGCCAUGUUUCUGUGCAAAAACAUUCUAAAAAUAGAUAUUCCACGUGAGGCUAUCGUCACUUUUCCCGCGAGUGAUUUUGUACGUAAACUACCAUUUAAGGAGAAAUAUCCCAUAAUGCAACAUUCGGGAAUAUUCGUUCGAUCCAAAUAAAGUAAAACGUAUCCCACAAUGCACCAUUCGGCUUAGCAACAAAACUUCGGCCUUUUCCGGUAGGUAUACAAAAUGGCGGCUGCUCAGCGAAAAGUUUGACAGGUAAACAUCGUUUUUGAUAUUUUCUUGACUGAAAAUUGUUGUAUUUUUUAAAAAUGAGGGCAAAACACGGGGCACAACACGCCUAUGGUAAGAAUAAGAGGCGAAGGGCAAGUCAGUUGAAGGAGGCACGUUCGAAAUGCGGUGUUAGAGUUACGACCCGUGUUGACAGCGCGAUCGACCCUGUGUCAGAUUCUGACAGCUUUGACGUUUUGGAUACAUCGGAAUCAUCCGGGGACCACGCCGUUGAGGAAAAAAUCCCCGUUGGAGACAAUGAAGGCUUGCGGCGGCCAUCUUGGAUGUUUCCAUGGCAACCGGUGGCAACAUCACCUGGAAAAGACUCCAUUUCAAUUGUUAAUAUGUAUACCUCAAAGUUGUAACCAAUUAAAACUAACAAAUACUU
rnacentral:misc_RNA from 1 species